rnacentral:rRNA from 1 species
AAUACGUCACACUGGGGGCAACCGUGAUACAGCCAUGUAGCGUGUGUAAAGAAGGUCUUCGGAUUGUAAAGCACUUUCAGUUGGGUGGAAGGGCUUUAGGUUAAUACCCUGAUGUUUAGACGAUACCAACAGACUAUGCACCGGCUAACUCUGUGCCAGCAGCCGCGGUAAUCCAGAGGUUGCAAGCGUUAAUCGGAAUUACUGGGCGUAAAGCGCGCGUAGGUGAUGCAGUAAGAUGGGAGUGAAAGCCCCGGGAUGAACCUGGGAACUGCAUUCAUAACUGCUAAGCUAGAGUACGGUAGAGGGUAGUGGAAUUUCCUGUGUAGCAGUGAAAUGCGUAGAUAUAGGAAGGAACACCAGUGGCGAAGGCGACUACCUUGACUGAUACUGACACUGAGGUGCGAAAGCGUGGGGAGCAAAC